rnacentral:rRNA from 1 species
UACGUAGGGUGCAAGCGUUGUCCGGAAUUAUUGGGCGUAAAGAGCUCGUAGGCGGUCUGUUGCGUCGGCUGUGAAAACCCGGGGCUCAACCCCGGGCCUGCAGCCGAUACGGGCAGACUAGAGUUCGGCAGGGGGAGACUGGAAUUCCUGGUGUAGCGGUGAAAUGCGCAGAUAUCAGGAGGAACACCGGUGGCGAAGGCGGGUCUCUGGGCCGGAUACUGACGCUGAGGAGCGAAAGCGUGGGGAGCGAACAGG